CAAAAACAUUGCUUUAUGAAAAUUCAUAUAAGGUAUAUUCUGCCCGGUGACUCACGAGUUAAACGGCCGCGGUACCCUGACUGUGCUAAGGUAGCGUGAUAAUUCGUCCUUUAAUUGUGGGCUUGAACGAAUGGAUUAACGAAAAUUUAGCUGUCUCUAUUUUAUUACUAGAAAUUAAUUUUUGAGUGAAAAAGCUUAAAUAAAGGUGAGGGACAAAAAGACCCCAUAGAGCUUUGUGCAAUUCAUUGUUUUAUGAAAAUAUUAUUAUAUUAAAAUUAAUAUUGAUAGCACUUAACUGGGGCGGUUAAUAAAAUUUAAUACUUUAGAUUUAAAAUAUGAUUUACUAAUCUUUAUAAAAUUGAUCCUUUAAAAGAUCAUAGGAUAAGCUACCUUGGGGGUAACAGACUAAUUUUUCUUGAGAGCUCAAAUUGACAGAAAAGUUUGGCACAUCGAUGUUGGCUUAAGGUAACCAAAUGGUAGUAGUAGCUAUUUAUGGUAGGUUUGUUCAACCUUUAAACCCCUACGUGAGCUGAGUUUCAGACA
rnacentral:rRNA from 1 species